rnacentral:antisense_RNA from 1 species
CUCUAUGGCAGCUGUGCGCGGGAGACCUUCGGGUCUGCCGGGUGUCUCGUUGCCGGUUCGCCAACCCGCGUGCAGCUGCCACCUAU